rnacentral:lncRNA from 1 species
GAGGAAUUCCUCAUAUCCAAGGCAGCUCCCCACAAACACCCCACCCAUAUGACUAUGCCCCCUUUUGAAUCGACAGUAUAGAUUGGGCUUCAUAGCUACUUUCAUUCUAAAGACGAAUAUUAGUCAAUAGGCAGGCUUCUUUCAGUAGCAAACAUAUUCAUUUUCACCGGGCUCCGCGCACCUUUGGUACUUCUGGAGGGCAAGUUGUUUUAUAGUGACUUCUUUCUUAGGGUAGGGCGACGAAUACUUCCAAUUUCGGAAAGGUCAUUGGGUCGCCUUUGGAAGCUAAAGCGAAAGUUGUAGAAAGCCGGGAGAAAAAGCGAAAGCUUGCUCGAAACGGCCUAUACCCUAACCCUCGGAAGCGAAGACGCAAAGCGUCACUUUUUUCAAAAGGAAGGAGUUUUUUCUGACUGAAUCCAUCCAUAAAGCCGCCAAGGAAACGAAGUUCGUUCCCUUUCAUCAAGUGGGUAAGGUAGGCAAACCACUUAAGCUUUGCCUUGGACUGACGGAACAAAGCUAAGAAGUAGGCUCAAUGGAAAAAGGAAAGGGACAAGGGCGGUCGUCGCUUGGUGCGAAGGCUGCUGGUUCGGUACGGUACUAAAGGUCCUCGGACUUCCAGGCGGUUUUUCUUUUGGGCUGCUGUGAACCCUUGGAUCUCGCCAAUACAGCCUCCUAUGGUUUUCGUUACCGAGAUAUCUUUUCUUUUUUCCCAGGGAUUUUUUGGGUAAUCAGCUCCCAUGCUGCAAACAGUCAAAUCUGAACAUUGUCGCUCUUCUUUCCUCGUGGGCAGGAAGCACACCAGCAGCGUGCGUUGCGUGAUUCCACUGUGUUUUUUGCACUUGACUGGGUGGACAGUUGACCGGAAGAUAACUUCGAUUCACCCGGCCAGCAGGCGGGCGGCGUGCUUAUCUUGUGUGACAACACUACAGAGCGAGUAGCUCUUCUAGUCGGGCAGCUGUGUGACAACACUCCUGAGAAAGCGGCGCUUUUGUGUAACAUGCUAUGGUCUCAACGCCCUUACGAGGUAGUGAUGAGUUUCACGCGCUCUAAGCCCGGCCCGCGCGCAGUUAGGAGGAUUGGCCGCUAUCUGAGCGGUACCACCCACCCUACCCUACUACCUAUAGGGGGCCGUCCGUCCUACAGCCGCCCGAAAAGGAACUGCAGUAAUCUUGAAUAGGAAUCCUACAGCGAUAAAAAGAAUCCCCAUAAAAAUACCACUAGAUCGGGCACCAGUGAUUUCGUAUCCGGUCAAAAUCUUGGCUAAUUGAUCGAAGUGGGUAGUUCCAGUAGACCCAUAGAUCAUGGAACAAAUAGGGUGGGUAGGCCCAACCACCACACUACACGUAUAGACGCGAACCCCCCUCCUUACCGUACGUGCGACUCUCACCGCAUACGGCUCGCACAAAGACUCCAAAAUCCAUCCCGAGCUUUUUAUUCCACCUCUCCCUCCUCUCCAAUCCUCGAUCAAACUAGCCUUCCCCAGCAAGAAAACGUAUCCGCUUUAGCAACAAAGCGCUCAUCCCUUGCUUGUUCUUGAGCGCGCAAGGCGCUCAAGACGGUGAUUCUUGCUUAAAAAAGGGCUAAAGCACUCCAGCUUCGAAGCUGGAAUUUGCAACUUCAAAACUAUAGGUUUUAGCCCUCCUGCUGGGUGGGCGCUUCCUUCGUCUAUCGUAUGUCUCGCUUGGCUUCGUCCCGAACCAAGGAGGCAUGAUGGCGGGCGUGUGCGUGUGCCGACUGCAGAGACUACAAGCCGACGCCGGAAGCGACUCGCUUCUAUUCUUGAUUGGAUAUAGAUGGGGAAUCUCUAUAGAUCGUCUUUUUUCGACAACCUCUCUAAAAUGCAUACGAGAAAAUUGCACUUCACGGCACGGCAAAAAAAAAGAGCUUCGCUUGGUUGGCCCUCCUAGGCUUCCGCCUACUUUCUCUUCUCUUAAGUCUACAACAAGUGGGAGAGGCAGGAUUCGAACCUACGUAGAAAACCUUCAACAGAUUUACAGUCUGUCGCUUUUGACCGCUCGGCCACUCUCCCCUUCCCGGGGAUACGCCCUCCUCAAACAAAGGGUUCCUGAAUAAGAAGGAUGGCGGCCUUCGUUCUUAAGUUAACAAGAGCAGAUGGAACUAUUAGAUUUGCUAGCGUUCCGGGAGAAUAAAUAAGGUCAUUUAGUAAGUUCAUAACAAUCCAUUUAUGUAAAGCAAGGGUCAAAGCUUCUACGACAGCUUCCCCCUCAUUGCCAUCGUCGGCCUUCCCCAGCUCCCCUCCUUCGUUGCUUCUGGCUAAGCAUCUUUCAGCGGAGGAAAGGAGGCGACUAGUCGCUUCUGGCGAAGCAGCGAGUUCAUGAGCAAGUGAAUGAACGAGCAGCGAGUGAAGUGCAACAGUCGUAAGUAAGGCUCGCCAUGUUCCUAAAAGGAGUGACCAUCUUUUCUUCCCUUCUACUGACACUGAGCGAGCAGCAAGCAUAGGCAAUAGUUUCCGUAGGGGUGGGGCGCAAGCAAGCGUUUUCAGGCUCCGCUAGCUAGCGUACUCUUCUGCUAUCAAUGAAACCGAAAGAAAAAACCAGUGCCCUUUCGUAUAGAUCGAGACGCAGUACUUUUUCUUUACUUCUUCCAUACUAGGAAGAAUGGAAGGAAAUCCUUCGAUAACACUUCUUCCUUAUUUGAAGAAAUGAUAUCCGACGCCCGUGGAAACUCUUUCAUUUCAAAAAAGUUCUUCUUCUUAAGAAGCAAAUAGCAUUUCCUAUUGAUUUGUCCCCUGGACUAGACCUAUGUAGAUUCGGAAUUAUCCGUCGCUACGCUGUUCCCAAGGACUAGCAAAAUCGAAAUAGCGAAAUUCUUGGGUCAUCUCAAUGGGUUCAGAAACCACACGUUUCUCUGGAUCAUCAUAGCGUACUUCCACAUAUCCACUCAGAGGAAAGUCUUUUCGUAAUGGACGACCCUCGAAACCAUAAUCUGUUGAUAUACGGCGUAAAUCCGGAUGAUUGAUGGAAGAAACACCAGACAUAUCCCAUACUUCUCGCUCCCACCGGCCGGCUGAUGGAAAUAGACUGACUACCGGAGAUAUUCGUGUUACUUCGUCUGCACUUGUUUGUACACGAAUGCGUGAGUUAUACCGAGUACUCAAUAAAUUAUGGACAACUUCAAAUCUUCGUUUUCGAGAGGGAUGAUCCACUCCGCAAAUAUCGAUCGAAACUUGAACCCUUGUAUAGGUAUGCCAUUUUAGAAAGCACAACAAUGGAAAUGGGUAGUCAGUAUUGGUAUAAGAUCUAUUCCCAUGUUCCGAUCUUUUCAUUUUAUGUACCCAUUUCUUGGGUAAAAUCUCCCAACUAUAUUGGAAAAUGGAUUGGUUAUUCAUAAAUGAAAAUAAAGAAAGCUUUAUUUUGGUUCCGCUUCUUGCUCUAAGCAGAAAGACUUGUCGGAAAUCGCCGGUUGGGUUGGUCCGACCAAGAAAGGCAUGGGAGUGGAGAGGCAGAAGUGAAAGACUGGCUACCAAUAAAGAUCCAAAACUGCACACACACUUUUUAGAGUUAUGUAUCCAGGAUCGGCUGCAUGCUCUAGUGUUGAAUCGGGUAUAGAACCCAGGAUGCUUGGUUACAAUUCCGAAUCCGCUAAACCAUCGCUCGGGGAAAAGUAUUAUACAGAGCAUUAGUACUUAUUCUGAUCCUUUCCUUAUAUUUAGAUUCUAGUAGUUUAUUUCAGUCGUAUUCGUAUCCUUACUGCGGUUUUUUAAGGGUAACAAAUAAAAGUAUGCAGGUUCUAUUUUAUUGUUCCGAGACAUAUGAUGAUAGCAUUGAGAAUGAGAAAUCUUUGCAAAAUGCACGUAUUAUUAAGGAGUUCUGGAACGAUUACUAUGCUAAGCUGUUGGAUAUUGACAAAACGAAAAAGACUUCUAAUGUUGAUAUGUAUCAGGAUGAUGUUAGAAAGUUGUUGAUUAAUGAAAAGAAGAAUCAAAAUGGUGUGUUUUCUGAUACUGAAUUAAUAGAUUUACAGAAUCAAAUUGCAAAUUGCACAAUGAAGUUCGAUGAGGAUAAUCUAUUUAAAGUAACUCCUAACAUAGUAAAGUUCUUGAUUAAUAAAGAUCAACCUAACACUAAGCAAUAUCUAAAGGGUUGCCUACCAAGUAGCUUACCUAUGCUUAAGAUGUUUGGUAUCUAUACGCUUGAGGCUAUCAUGAUUCAUGUACUAGGCUUGGUAUUCAACACUCUUCAGGAAUCAUCCGCAGUUAAGGCAGCUAGAUUUAUAGAUCAACUUAAUUCAACUGUACGGGAACAAGCAAGGUUUCUACAAUACAAAGCACCAGGUAGUGGUAAGGUGGAAGCAGUACUCACUAGUAAGGUAGAAUCAGUUAAGGAUGUUGUUCAGCCCAAAGGUGCUAGCAAAAAAGAGAAAAAGAAAAAAAUGCAGUGUCAUUAUGAUAUCGGGAAAUACUUGCUCCAAUUCAUGAUUGAAAGAAAUGUUCUACAUAUAUCAACAGAUAGGGGAGUAACAAAAGAAGAUCCAGUGCUGGUUCUUAAGAAAGGUCAAGGGUAUAUAGAGAAUUCUUGUUAUGUUAUGUGCAAUUUGAACAUAAAUCUGCUCCCUAUCAAACUCAAUCUUCCGAUGCUUUGCAAACCCUUGGAUUGGCAACCAGCAGAGAGGGGGUCUGAUCCUGAUACAUUAUCGGAUCUGAUAGGAGGUUACUUAUGCAAACCCACGUGGGAUAUCUAGAAUCACUUUCGGCUAUUAACUUCCCAUGACUUAAACCACUUCUAUAUAAAGUUACAUAAAAAAGAAUACAAGCAGAUGUGUGAUAUUUUGAAUGGGCUUCAGUCUCAAGCGUUUGAAAUAAACAAAAGGCUCUUGAUAUUUCUGGAAAAGAAUCGUCAAUGUUUAGUUGAGUGUGGGCUUCUUUUACCAAAUGCUCUGGCUCGCGUGAAUCCGACAGAAGCCUCAGACAUAUUGAGGGAGUGCUACUUCAAUAACGUCAAAGGUAUUAAGAAUGCUUGUAGCUAUAACAUACUGUUAAAUAAAUUAUGAAAACAGGUGCAGCAGGCUAGUUAUGAAGAUUUUUUAAUAAGACUUGCGUCAGCAUACGAAGGUUAUCAAUUCUAUUUGCCAGCAUUCAUGGACUUCCGUGGUAGAAUCUACCGUUCAGGUGUAUUGCAUUUUCAUGAGCGUGAUUUGUCAAAAAGUUUAUUACUCUUUUCUGCCGAUCAUCCUCAACCUCAAGCACAAAACCACCUGUCGGAAAAAAAGAAUCUCAGUCAACACUUAGCAUGUGCUGCAGCCUUUAAGUAUCCAAAGUUCUCGAACUUAGAUGAUGCCCUUAAAUGGUAUAACGAACANNNNNNNNNNGAAAUACUUGCUCCAAUUCAUGAUUGAAAGAAAUGUUCUACAUAUAUCAACAGAUAGGGGAGUAACAAAAGAAGAUCCAGUGCUGGUUCUUAAGAAAGGUCAAGGGUAUAUAGAGAAUUCUUGUUAUGUUAUGUGCAAUUUGAACAUAAAUCUGCUCCCUAUCAAACUCAAUCUUCCGAUGCUUUGCAAACCCUUGGAUUGGCAACCAGCAGAGAGGGGGUCUGAUCCUGAUACAUUAUCGGAUCUGAUAGGAGGUUACUUAUGCAAACCCACGGGGGAUAUCUAGAAUCACUUUCGGCUAUUAACUUCCCAUGACUUAAACCACUUCUAUAUAAAGUUACAUAAAAAAGAAUACAAGCAGAUGUGUGAUAUUUUGAAUGGGCUUCAGUCUCAAGCGUUUGAAAUAAACAAAAGGCUCCUGAGAUUUCUGGAAAAGAAUCUUCAAUGUUUAGUUGAGUGUGGGCUUCUUUUACCAAAUGCUCUGGCUCGCGUGAAUCCGACAGAAGCCUCAGACAUAUUGAGGGAGUGCUACUUCAAUAACGUCAAAGGUAUUAAUAAUGCUUGUAGCUAUAACAUACUGUUAAAUAAAUUAUUAAAACAGGUGCAGCAGGCUAGUUAUGAAGAUUUUGUAAUAAGACUUGCGUCAGCAUACGAAGGUUAUCAAUUCUAUUUGCCAGCAUUCAUGGACUUUCGUGGUAGAAUCUACCGUUCAGGUGUAUUGCAUUUUCAUGAGCGUGAUUUGUCAAAAAGUUUAUUACUCUUUUCUGCCGAUCAUCCUCAACCUCAAGCACAAAACCACCUGUCGGAAAAAAAGAAUCUCAGUCAACACUUAGCAUGUGCUGCAGCCUUUAAGUAUCCAAAGUUCUCGAACUUAGAUGAUGCCCUUAAAUGGUAUAACGAACACCAGACUGAAAUGUUUACUUCGGACGAAAGUUUCAUUCAAUUUGCUGCGCAAGCUAGUGAUCCAUUUUUUUUCAUAGCCAAGAUCCUUUCUCAGGAUGAAGGAGUGAGUAAUUAUCAUCAGGUUCCAGUGACCCAAGAUGCGAGUGCGAGUGCAUAUCAAAUUAUGAGUUAUCUCUUGCUUAACUUAGAAAUGGGUAGGAGAACGAAUCUUCUUCCAUCUUAAGACGGUAAAAUCCAAGAUGUGUACAUGUGCUUGCGGGAUGAGCUUAAUAAAUUCUUNNNNNNNNNNUUGUAGCUAUAACAUACUGUUAAAUAAAUUAUGAAAACAGGUGCAGCAGGCUAGUUAUGAAGAUUUUUUAAUAAGACUUGCGUCAGCAUACGAAGGUUAUCAAUUCUAUUUGCCAGCAUUCAUGGACUUCCGUGGUAGAAUCUACCGUUCAGGUGUAUUGCAUUUUCAUGAGCGUGAUUUGUCAAAAAGUUUAUUACUCUUUUCUGCCGAUCAUCCUCAACCUCAAGCACAAAACCACCUGUCGGAAAAAAAGAAUCUCAGUCAACACUUAGCAUGUGCUGCAGCCUUUAAGUAUCCAAAGUUCUCGAACUUAGAUGAUGCCCUUAAAUGGUAUAACGAACACCAGACUGAAAUGUUUACUUCGGACGAAAGUUUCAUUCAAUUUGCUGCGCAAGCUAGUGAUCCAUUUUUUUUCAUAGCCAAGAUCCUUUCUCAGGAUGAAGGAGUGAGUAAUUAUCAUCAGGUUCCAGUGACCCAAGAUGCAAUUGCGAGUGCAUAUCAAAUUAUGAGUUAUCUCUUGCUUAACUUAGAAAUGGGUAGGAGAACGAAUCUUCUUCCAUCUUAAGACGGUCAAAUCCAAGAUGUGUACAUGUGCUUGCGGGAUGAGCUUAAUAAAUUGUUUUUUACCAGAUUGAAUAAUGUUAGUAGUAGUAAUUAGAAGAAAAAACUCAUAGAUUCUAUGUUAACCAGAAAGUUCGUCAAAGGAUUGUUUAUGCCAUCUCCACAGGGGUCCGUCCGGUUCUUCCUCAAAUGGGUUGCCUCAAUCUUUAUCAAAGUUUUGGUAUCUAGCUUAUCCAGCUACAGUAUAGUAUACUCCUUCCUUGCUCGAUAGAGCUCUUUGAAUCCGCUUCAACUAAAUGCGUAAAAUAGAGUAAUUUCUUCAAAAGCCAGUUUCUUUUGAGAAGGCAGGAGGCCCAUAGCGAGUUAUAAUAGUGCCAGUUCUUGUACGGAAGGCCGUAAUUCAGGUAACCUUGACUGCUCUAAGAAUGAUCCGGGCUAGCCGGGCACAUCACAUCAAAGUUAGGUCAUUUGUCAAAAACAUGGCAAAUAGCUCAGUUGGUUUGGUAAGGGAGCUAUUCUCUCACUUAAACCACUCCCAUAUUAGGUAUUCUAUCUCGUCUUAAAGUUCCCCCGCAUUACCCAUAACUUACCACCUGUAUCUCCGGAACUCAAAUCGCAAAAUGACAAUGCUUUCGAUAGUCUGUACUAAAUUACUUUGUACGAAUGCACAUCUCGGCCGUCGGGUAGCUGAUCACCAUUUCAAAGUCUAUAUCCGUGGUUCAAGAAAUGGAAUUGCUAUUCUCGAUUCAGACAAGACACUGAUUUGUUUACGAAACGCUCUUCAUUUUAUAGGAUCUCCCAGUCGUCAAAAAGGCCGUUCCUUCUUUUUAAAGACCAAUCAUUUAUUUAUUUAUGAGAUAACGGAAGAAAUGGCGAGCUAUUUAAGAAGCUAUUUAAGAAAUGUGAAUUCUCAUUGUUUCAAUGAUUCUCAAUGGAAGAUCGGGGCGUUUUUGACCAAUUCUUUUGCAAAUAAAAAAAAUUCCGUUCAAGAAAGAAGAAGAUCAAUUUUGGGUUGAACCAACAACCUGAUUGUGUGGUUAUUCUGAAUGCAGAUAGAAAGUCUUCGGUCAUACUGGAAGCUGAUCGAUCACAAAUACCUAUUCCAUCCUUAGUUGAUUCUACGAUCCCAUGGGAAUCCUAUAAAAGAAUCACUUAUCCCAUCCCAGCGAAUGAUCCUAUACAGUUCGUAUAUCUAUUUCAUCAUUCGAUCAUGAAAAUAGUGAUUCUUGAACAGGAUGCGAUUAGUAGAGAAGCGCAAUCUCUCAGAGUCACUUUGAGUACGGGGAAGUCCGCAGGAGGGAUGAGAUCCGCCUGCUACUCCACCUCUUCUUCUUCCCCAAUAGACGAAGAAGAAAAUAGGGCCAAGGCGCUAUUGGAGAUGCGCAAAAAAUAUCCAUCGGGAGAUGGCGCUGACGCUGACGCUAACGCUCGCAAGGCGGUUUUGCAGGCAAUUUCACAAAAUAGUUUUUUUUUUCGUUGAGGUCAUAACCCGGUUUGGGCCGAUUGACUCUGAGAGCGAUCGAGGGGUCGCGGGCUCACACCUUGCUUUUGCGCAUAGGAUUGAAGAGAUCCUAGAAUUUCAUGGAAAGAGCAGCGGCUCUCUGAAAGACCUCAUUGAUCUGAAAUUGGAUUUGGAAGACGCCUCUAAAAGAGAGGAGAUUCUACUUCCAUAUUUUUCCUCCAAAAAAGAGGCAAAGUCCUAGCGUGAUACAAAAAGAAAUAAUGGGCAAGGGCGGGGAAUGAUAGGUUCAUAGAUGUGGAGUAAUCAGUUCUUCAUUUGAAGAGUUAGUUGGCUGGCCUACCGGCCCGCAGAUGUAGAGAGGUUGCCCCCACCAUCCUCUUGAACUGCGAAAUCAAAGCGAUUCCUGUUGAUGGAAGAAAGGCUAAUUUUGUUUGAUCCGAUCCGCCUAUGCCAGUUCGAGUCUGGCGAGUCGCUAUCAUCUGUUGCCCUAACUUUUUCUAUUAGCUCAUCUUGUCCGUAGUGAUAUUUUGGAGAAGGAGCAAUUACCGGAGUGAGAAAGGUAGAAAGAAGCAAUCACGAAAGCUAGUGCUAGUUGUGGCUUUUUGUACUAAUCUUGUUUGUUCGGUAGCUCGCAUCAGCAGCUUUAAAAGGAAUAGAAAACGAGGCUUUUUCCACCACACUAGGGGCGGGCAUUACGCUCAAGCAGGGGAAGUCAAUUUGACUGCUGCUCGAGAACCUGUUUGAACAAGAAGAAGUAGCAUGGCUCCAGCGGGGCAGAGCCAAUUGGCUACGACAUGGUGACCGAAAUACAAAUUUUUUCCACCACUUUGCAAUUGCAAGAAAAAAGAGGAAUUUGAUCAAGUACUUGAUGAGCGAUACUGGAGAUCGAAUAGAAGGUAAUGACUUACUCGAUGCACAUAUUUAGGGCUAUUUCUCUCAUCUGUUUAAUACGCAAUUCUCUUCGCUAAGAAGGGUUCUCUUGUGUUCCAGGGUUGAUUAAGCGUCUGGUGGAACAGGGAUACAUUGUGUGAGGCCAAAUUGCCUGACGAAUUGAUGAAUAUGGCUCAAUAUAGACUGGUCCAGGUAUACCGGUCAGUCUUGAGCCACCAGGAUAGCCUUCCACAUAUCCUGUUCCUCCCUUAAGUGGUAACUCUUUUCUAACCUUAGAAUCCUGAACCAAUUUGCUCCAAAGACUCUGUCAUUGAAAGGAGUCCAUAGGUUGAUAAAAUAGGUUUUCAUGAAAACCACACGUAGAUAGAAAAGGUAAGAGUUACACGUGCCAGAAGCGAGGAAUACCGCUCGGAAGCCUGAUUGAACAUGUCCUCAUUCACUGCUAUCUCCAUAUAUUGGAUGCCAAGCUUGAAAGGGUAAUGGUCUGAGAGGAUGGGGCCGUAGUCUUCUAUUACGCACGCUACGUAGACGAUAUGGUCUUCGGCUUACCGAGAGGGGAUAAGUCCACGCGAGUCACCCAGGGUCUCAAAAAGGUCUUAGCUAGAGUCCUUAGGGAGCUCCUACAGGGCUUCACUUCUACUGAAAUUUCUAGAAAACAACCAGGGAGGCUACAAAUUAUCGGCUUGCCCCUGUCUCUGAAAAGUGAAGGUCAGCUCCACGUGGGUAUUCCAUCCAAACGAUGGGAGAAGAGGAUGACACUUGUUCGUAUUGAAAACCGGAGACGAAGGGAAAGAGGUUUGAUUGGAACAUGUUCUACAAGAACUCCUGUGUAGAACACGCCCGUAUCUAUUCUAUGGGCUGGCUUCAGGCCAACCCUACUGCUGAAGUAGAAAGCAUCAUAUUCCGGUUUUUCCAACACUUGAUCAGGAACCGGGCGCAGAAAUUCCUUGAAGAGAAGGGGAUGCCUACAACCAAUGCCUAAAUAAAGGCAUAUGUUGAAAAGUGCAACUACUAAUAGAUUCAGUAAAGGAAGGCCCGGAACGGGCUGAGCUACUGCCCGAAAUAGAAGAGGACGACUAGAGUAGAGGAGCCUAAUUCCAAUCCAAACAAUUGACGAGGGAGUCUAAUUAUUUUUCCGUUCUUGAUUGUUUCAAUUGCACUUUCUUCAUUGGAGGGUUGCUUGGAAAGUGCGAUAGUUACGGCGCUUGGAGUAUACGGAUUGAAUUCUUCCUUCUUCUAUAGGUCUUUCUGGGCGGCGAGGCGGAAAAAAGGUGUAGAGAGGGAGAAGGUACAUAAAAAAACGAUUUCUAAGGUAGAAAAGAGGCAUCCACCAGUCAUUGAGAACAGCUAAUCCCGGAAUUAGCAGGCCGGUAUGCGAAGAGAAUUCGGUAUUGAAUCCGCGAGGCCAGGUGAAGAAAAGUCCAAUAUGGGUGGAUUACCUUUUUCUGAAGGAUAAGUCUCUGGGACUGACUGAACUGAAUGUAUAGCGUCAAGAUAAGAAGCACGGUAGUCGAAGAUGUACCUUGUGGGGUGGGGUACGAGUAGACCAGACCAAUGAUGAAAAGCAUAGAUACGAGCAUGGCCUCCCUGUCUCAAAAGCAGGCCGCCAAGGGUGCUCGCAUGAAGCAUUUAUCACUCAUAAAUAAGUAGUUAUCACAAAUUUAGAAACAUGCUCUGAUUUCUCUUAUCGAAUUUCAUUCAUAUUUUCCAGUAUUCGGAGUUGCUUGGGAAAAAACACCCUAAUUAAGACUUUUGUAUAGUUUGUGUCAACCUGAGUUUGGUUAAGUGCCCGCCCGCCUAGAUAGAUACAUAAGUGUCAGUUUGAAUCAAGUCAAGUGUAAGCCGUGUCAACAACGAGAAAUUGAAGUGUAAAUCUGGAUGGUUUGAAGUGGAAACCUUAACAUACAAAAGUGUCUACCUCAUUAGAAAAGCAAGUAUCUACCGGCGAUAUAUUCAUUCGAGUAUCAACUGGCGUCAACCAGUUGUCAAACUCCAAAUAUUUCGUUCGUAGGGGCAUGAAGAAGUUGCUAAACCGGUUGUAAAGUGGCUCUGAUAAAAACCAUCAUUGCUUUAUUUUUUACUUUUCAUCUAGUAACGUGCAUGAAUGGAUAUGGUGGGUAAGAUUUGAAAACGUUUGACAUCAACCGGGCUCUACUUUGCUUUUACUUUACUUCACUUGCCAGGUCAUUGUUGUCGAUAUUGAGGUGAGGACUCUCUCUUUAUUCUCGUUUUAUUUAUCACUAAAUGAUCUAACAAACGCAUGAUUUGAUUACUAAAUAUUGAGUCAUUGAACGAAUAUUCGAGUAAAUUCACCUUUUUCUAUGAAAGCAAGGAUUGGGCUGGGUUGCUUAUUCGUCAUCACGGAGCAACCCGGUACCUUUUCUUAGGCGAGCGACUGAGACGAGAGCUUUCAAUUAUGCCGUUUUGGUCAAAUCCCAGGGCUCUUUCUGAUUUGAUUAAAUACUUCUAUGUUGUAUGAUAAUAGAAAGUCAAGAUCUCACUCGCUUUUUCUGCUUUUCUCGGUUGUUGCCUUUUUCCACAUCGAUUGCUAUAGGAGUUCCAUCCUCAACCUAUGUAUGCUCAAAGAACUGGAUCACGGAACUCUCAGCCCUUUGCCCCAAGGCUACGAAAAUGUUUCUACUCCCUUUCCCUUCCCAACGUCAUAUCUUUCUUCGACAAGAAGGAAAGAUCACUCUCUAUCUAAAUGAUAGAACCACUGGCACGGUACCUUUCACAUUGGUAAGUCAAAUCCUGGUGAAGACAUCACGAGCAAUGACACGACGACAUCAUCUCCACUUCGUAGCCCAUCGGUCUUCAUUCAUUGAAGCCAGGGCAUUGACUGACUUUCAGCGAUCGCUAUAAGAAAGACAUAAAAAAAGUUCUCCUAAACCUGUUCCUUUCCGUUACUACUACUUGGAAUUGGAAGUCUAGGAGCAGGACUAACCUUUUUCUUUCGUUUAAAUAAAGUCGAGAUGUAGCUUUCUCUAUCUCAAUAAAUUAUUCCACCUCCAUUCAUUGGAGAACAAAGCGUUAUCUGAUUAGAUCCUUGCUUCAAACUCAACCGAAUCAAGUUUCAAAAAUAGAUGUGGAAGAGGCAAAGGGAAGAGCGGGGUUGCCGAAUUGUUUCUCAGAGCCGGACGAAACAUCUAUCUCUAUUUACAAUACCCCCAAGAAAACUUUGUCGAAAAAGGUUGUCAUCGUAAUAGGGAUUGCACCUCAACAUGGCAGCCCUCAAUUCUGCCAAUUGUGUGUGACUUGUACUCUUCUAGGCUUCCUCUUUGCCUCAAGUGAUUAAACUCAUCAACUACACCAGCCACAUUUCUUACCUCAAACCUCUCUACAAUCUCUUGAAUUCACUCUUGCCAAGAUACUUGUCCCCUAUUCACUAAGAAACUAUUGUACCAGCUUUCAGCUCUCCCCCUAAGGUGCAUAGCCGAAAGUUCUACCUUGUACCAAUCCGUAACUUGGUACACCGAAAAGUAAUGUUCACACUUUUGUAUCCAAGACCUGGCCCCUUCAAAUAUUGGAAAAUAAACUCUAGGAGGUUGAUGUAUCUGCUGCCCAUAUUGAUAUUGAUUUUGCGGCCUUUGUUCUUGCAGGUAUUGGUACGGGUCAUGCUGUUGAGUUGGAAGCGGUUGGUUAAGGUAAGUAUAUAUUGGCACUUCAGCUUGUGAAUCUUGAAACCGCAUUUGCUUCCUAAUUAAACUGAGAAAAAAUAAGAAUAUUAAAAGAAAGACUCCACAGAACAUGAAUGAAUUCAGGUACAUCACAUCAGGCUGAUAUGUGCCGGUAUCAUACCUGUUUCAAGAUUCUGGCUAAGCCCUUCUUGUUGCCACAUAUCCAGUUUCUUCUAAGGUUUCUGGAAUUGCUCAAGUUCCUGCUCAACGCUUCUUGUCUAGCUCCAGUCUAGCACUUGUACCAGUCGCCUACCAGAUCACGGCUUUGCUCCAAUUCUACUCUCCAAUUAUGCAAUCCUCUCCAAAAUUGGGGCUUUUCUUCACUUCAGCACUUCCCCUCGCAGUGGAUUCCACUAGGUUCUUAACCUCUUCCCAAUUCUUAAACUGAAACCUGCGAUGUCUAAUCCAACUCGGCACCUAACCAGCUUGUCAGCAUCGUAAGUUUGCCUCAACAUUCCCCCUAGAAAUACAAAAAUAAUGUAAAUCUACUUUCAUUUAUUUAUUAGGGUAGGGAUGAGACUUUCUUUUUCUUUUUCUAUUUUCUAGAAUAAGUAUGCUCUGGAGUAAAAGGAUUCGAACCUUUGCAUGCCGGUACCAAAAACCGAUGCCUUACCACUUGGCUAUACUCCAAACGGGGGGAAGGCUCGAUGAAAACGAGCUGGGAUAUAGAUUUUUCAGAAGGAAGAGUUAGUUACCCUCGGUCUUCCUUCUUUCCCGGGAAUCAAGGAAGUAGUAGCGGGACAGUCCUUUAUUUCCCCCUUUAGACCAACUACAACAAGCUCGCUCCUUAGGUUAGCUCUCUGCUCUACCUAUUUGUUUGCAAUGCCUUGCUUAUCAAAAUAGGCCUUUUUGUAACCCGACCUUACGCUGAAAAACUGCACUUGUUGGCUCUGCGUCCACUGAAACUUAUGAAAAAGAAAUGUUAUUCUAUCGAUAUCUUCAAGAGUUCCCUAACCCCCUGACUGAGAGUGCUAUGAUGGGCUAUUGAAGUUCGUCCCUGCGGCACGGUGGGGCAGUGCAAAUCCUUUCAUUAAUGAAGUUCCGCCCUGACACUCCCAUUAUUGGCUUCCUUCCCUGGGGACCGCUCGGGCGAAGGCAGAGCAUGGAAUGAUCGUAGGGGCAUCCUUCCUAGGUGGAAAAGACGUGUGUGACUAAAACCAGGAGGAGAAAUCCAUUUUCAAAUGGCGACAGAAAGAAAGGAAUCACGAAAUAGAAGAAAAAGUGCACUGUGCUGGCAAAUGUGGAGAAUAGCCAUCCAUCUUUCAUCAAUGAAAUUGUUCCGUAUGGGUAGCAAAUACACAUAUCAGAAGAGCCAACCCGAAAGCACUUGCUUAAAAGAAGCAGCAGUUACCAAGAAAUUCCUGUUUCAAGUCAGUAUAUCUCGAUAGAACCAAUUCCAAUCCAGGUAGUGUGAACAGAGGAUGUGGAAGUUCUGUUUCCUUGCCUUGUCAAGCAUUUCAUCUGACACUCUAUCUAUACUAUAGCUAGAUCAAUUCCUAUUCUUUCUUCCAGGCGACUUUACUCCAAAGAAUUUUGCCUUCUUAUCUUGACUCGAUCUCACGAAAUUGGAUUGAUUGGCACACCGCGCAUCUGGCAUUCGCUUCUCCUAUCUAUCUCUUCCAACUAAGCUGAUCACUGGAAAAUAUGAAAUCAUGCAAGCAAUCAUUCCAGAGCCAACUACGAAGAUACCUGGUCUUCCACUCUAUUCACUGGAGGAAACACAAGAAAGUAAACAAUUCUUCAAAGGAAUUGGCUCUACCGGAACAGAGGAAUUGGCUCGCUCCUUCGCUCGCUGGGUAAGCAUAGAAUGCACACCAGUCUGGUAUCAAAGCGUAUCUACUUGAAAAGGAGACUACUUGAACAGAUGAAAUGGAAGGAAGAAAUGAAAGUUCGAUCUACCAACGUAGAGUCCGCCCCUCCCAGGAAGAAGAAAUUUGCUACUUUGGCUCAUCAGUUGGUAAGUCUGUCUAUGAAGUUCAGUGCUCAGAAAAGAGAAAAAAAGACCAAAACAAGCUUUUUCAAGCUCUACAAGUCCUAUAUAUAUAGUGUUCCACUAGAUAGCCGUGUUAAACUAGUCCAGUCUUGCCGAGUGGCCUUAUCUUCUGGUUACCUGGUCCGGUACUUCUACUUCGAGAGUGAGUUAGUAAACAGGAUCAACUUUAUGAUCCAUUUUGAGAAAUUGCAAUCACAGAAUCAGAACGAGUGGGUCUAGAGUCCAUCCUCACACAGUUGAAAUGCUGCUUCUCCCUUCUCCUUUCCAAAAGAAAGUGGAUCUCAUAGCCUCUGACAAUUCGAAAAGUAGGUCUCAGUCUCAUUUUCAGAUGCCAUUUUCCACCGGAAAGAGAAUCCCAUAUUCUUUAAGCCAAGCCGCCAAUCCUAGGGUCAAUGCGGAACAGGAAACCAUUGCUAUUUGAGCAGUUAGAGAAUCGAAAUUCCACUCAUUUAGAAAUCGAUCAGCGAAUGCCAGAGGAAGGAUAAGGGGAGCCUACACCAACGUAGUCUUAGCCCUAGAACACAUGGAGCUUGGAGCACUGAUAAUAAGUCUGUCUGAUUUUCAAGGAGUUUAUGAACAAUCACCACAUCCAUAUUGAGGAGAAAGCUCACUCAGGCUACUGAACUUGUAAAUACAGUUGCGCUCAUGAUAGGGAUUCCGUUUAUGGCGUGAGGUGAAGUUAGAAGCAUACCUGGAUAUAUACUCAUAGUGGCUUCCAUACCUAUCUCCGGUAGAACUAACAAAAUAGAAACCUAUGACUAGUAGACUCAUACGAAAACUUGAAAGAUCUAUUUCAUUAGAAGAGAAAUUUCACUAAUCUAUGGCCUAGAAAGCCAAAAGAAAUGAUCAGUCCAAUGACAGAAGGACAGAAGCGCGUUCCCUUCGUCCUCAAUGUGCGUCCACAGCUUACUCGAGUGCUUGAGAUAUUCAUUUGGUUUAAGGCACCUUCAUUGUAGGAAGGAAAAAACCCGGAUCCCCGGGCGGAUCAUUCCCUCUAACAAGCUAAACAAGAGUCCAGGAGCAAGAGAGGAAAAUCCAAAGUGCAAAUAACAUAAUAUGAAAAAAGAAAAAAGUUUUAUUGAGUUGUUGAAAAAAAAGGCACUUUAGAAGCGAAAGUAGGCUAUUCUCGUAAAGGAAUAUCGUAACGGGCGACUAGGUAAAAUAUAGAAGGCCGACCCACCCGAAUCUCUUGGUGGCCUUUCCCUCGGCUUCCAUCACAGAAGAUGUCAGCAAUAGCAAUCCUUCAGUCAAUAGAAUCAGUAACUAUACUACUUAAAUAGUGAAAUACCAACCAACACAUAAAGCAAUAACCAGAUAGAUAGAAUGAUAACAGGUAAUACGAAGAUAUCAACACAGCCGGAGUCACGAGGCUCGAUAAUGACCAAUGGGUUAGGAUCUGAGGAAGCUUAGUUUGGAUGAUGGAAUAUUCGCUGUUCUGAUUGUUGAGAUACUGCAAAUCCACUUAUCCAACAAUUUCAGUCCAUUUUCCUACUUUUUCUGCAAGGGGGGAAAGCAUUAUUAUAUCCUUAAUAUGACUCUCUGUCACACGGAUGCUGCUAGGCUGCUACAAAACCCCUAUAGUCGAAAAAAAGAUCGAAACAGGGAUAAAACGUAGGAUAACCCAGAUCACUCGGACUAGCUGAACUCUCCAGAACAAACACAACCUAGGUGGUUUGACUAACGUUUUGGCACAUUAGACUAACCUAAGACAACUCCUGGCUACAUGCAGUCCUAUCGAGAUACAAGCUGUUACCAACCUGAUACAACGCAAGUCACAAGCUUGACACAGCGAGAAUGGCUGCAACUGACAACUCCUGCAUCUGAGAUUGACAACUCUAGUAACAGAGAAUGACAACUCCUGCAACAGAUAUUGACAGAGCAUGACACUCUCAACUGAGCUCAAUCCAGCUGUGAACAAUAAACAACACUGAAAGUAAACAACACGCUUAUCACAAAACUUGGAUUCCGAAUUACAACACUAUAGGCAAUGAACCACCACUAACGGCCCAUAACGUUAGCUGAUAGCCGCUGACCGUGGAGUACUUGUCGAUCCAUCAGCGAGGACUGUAUCAUUUAGCGAGCUAAAAACUUAAGGAACAUGUAUGUGAGAGUUCCACUUUAGCUCCCUCAACACCAGGCGGGACGAGCAGCCCUAUACCACGUGUAGCCACACUCUAGUGUCCUUUUCUACUUAGUUGGACAGAUCACUUCAGAAAAUCGUAUAAAAAUCAAGCAAGAAAACGGAUGCGCUAACGCGCAACGGCUUUCGCGCUAGUUGCUCAAAAAAUCAUAUAAAAAUCAAGCAAUAAAACGGAUGCGCUAACGCGCAACGGCUUUCGCGCUAGUUGCUCAAUCCGUUGCUUGCUUCUCUUCUGUCUUGGAAAAGUGAGGAUUUCCUAUCUGAUCCAAGGGAAGGAAGAGAGGUGGAAAGUGUUGCUGUGUCAAAUCGAGAUUGUGUGGGUGUCCGCUCAUGUUCGACGCUAUCGAAAAUCAUGCAUUGGAUGGAUGCCCGCGCAUUGAGAAGGAAGGACGCUUUCAGAGGCGAAAGGCCAUGGGGAGAGAUUUUUCUGUGAUCCAUGGAUCUCCGAUCGGGAAACCGUAUCCAAGCUCCGUGGCUAGUCUGCGCUCUUUGGACUUUUCAAACUUAGCGAACUGAAACGUCUGAGUAGCUAAAGGAAGGAAAAUCAACCGAGACCCCGUUAGUAGCGGCGAGCGAGAGCGGAACAAGGGUUUUCAUCAAAAGAAAUCCGAAGCGGUUUCAUUCGAUUUGUUGUGGAUUGGAUGAUGGAAAAACCAGCAAGCACCAAGCGUAGUUAGAAAAGUUGUCGUAGCGCGCCCUUCGGAGUUGUACAAAGUCAGCAACCGUUUUGGGGCGCAAGCAUAGGCAACACAGGACUGAUGACGGGGUGGGAUUUGGAAUUGGAAUUGGAAGGUUUGACAGCCAAGGAGCGGCAAAUAAGUCACGCUUCGACAUAGCUGAAGCUCUAGGUGAAUAAUCUCUUUCUUAAAAAUCAAAACGAAAAUCAAAAUGACAAAUCUGGUUCGAUGGCUCUUCGGUGGGAACCUACUAACUGGGUUUUUUGGGGGGUUAUUCUAAUAGUUCUAGUAGCAACCGCUUUAGUAUUUUUGGUUUCCGUUUCUUUCUCUUGCUCUUGGAUAGCACCAGAACAACUUUUCGAAUGGGUUCUCUCGCUUUCACAGUAUGUUUAUCACAUUCUUAGGGCCAUUUUGGAAGAAACCUGGAAUGGACGUGACCGCUGUGCGACCAUGGGAGUGACGGAACUGGAAAGUCCUGCCCGUUCAGGGGAUAAAACGUACAAAGCCCCACACGUGAAUCUAAUGCUAUCAUCAUCUAGUGAUAGCGUUAACCAAGGGGGUGGGAGCAAUGAAACUCCUUUAACUAUUGACUUGAACCGACCGGCUCAGGAUCAGGAAGAUAUUCGGCAAUAUGCCGAAUCAAUCAAGGACUUUAGAAUUGACGAGCAAUUUGAGAGUUUCAAAAACAAUCAACUCACUAAACCGCUCUAUGAUAAAUUAUGUGCCUACGUGGGAGAUGCGGAGGCUGUAAAAAACACAUGCAUACGAGAAAUCUCGGAGAACUUUCAUUCAACAGACGCUGGGUUAAUUGAUUUCGUCAAGCAGACGGAUGACAGUGAAGGGCAAAGAAGAGUGAUAUUUGAUCUUAUCAACCUUCAUUUUAAGGAUGAGCUAGAGAAACUCCCACCCGAACUCCAACAAAAUGAAAAUCAAGAGGACGACGGGGAGGGAUAAUGAAACAAACUACUAGCAACCCGCAGAAAUAACGCUCAUAUCUACUUCUAGUUAGAUGGUCAUUUUACACAAUGAAUUUACAAGCUAAUGAAAAUGGGAAUCGAAAUUAUGAUUCUAGGAGGACUAUAAUGAGGAGGACGACAGAUCACGAUCUACUAAAAGGAGACAUUGUUGGUGGUUCGAAUCCACCUCGUGAGAAAGACUGAGCUGAGCUAUUUCUUACUUUUCUAGCUUGAAUGAGACAAAGCCGAGGGUUCGGUCAUACAAAGGAGCAAUUCUCUUGUGCAAAGGCUAGUUUCGAGUGAAUUAACGCACCCCCAUUUAAUAAGUGCUUUGCAAGCGAUAUGAAGUAAGAUUCCUCUUCCCCCUACGCACGAGUGAAAAGCUAGGCUAGUUUUGAAAGAAAUGAAACAGAGAAAUGUUGGGCGCCAAAGCCCACAGCAAAUAGGAAUGCAGAUGGAAAUAAAGUAUCUUUGGGAAAACGGGAUCCACAUUCUAGGAACGGUCAUGCAAAUGAGAAAAAGGCAUAGGUUUCUUACUCCACUGAGCACACUACAUUAGGGAAAAGCAGUUUAGCAUCAAUAAAUAAUUAGGAUAGGAUGGACCUUUUCACAAAGAAAUUAGAAGCAAAAACAGUAUCAAUUUCUACUCCGCAUUCGCAUGAACCUUUGGUGGUAUCCUUCAAAUCUUCUUCCUAGCUCUGACCGGGUUGCGUAAAGACCCCUAGAGACACCUCCUCAUGCAGGCAGCUAGUGUUUCUUCUUCUUUUUAAACAAUAGAGAUUAUCACGCACAAGCCAUAAAAAAUAGAGAGUUGAAAUGCCAGUUUUGAAAGAAUUGGCACUAAGUAAGAGGUGAUCUGCUUUUGGCCUUGUAUCGGGCAGCGGGACGUUAUGAAGGGCAGCUAAAACAUGACUCUUGUGAUGCUGAAUCAUCGAUUGAUAGAGGUGCUGAGAGGGUUGUGACUGCAGUAGCCUCACUUCACUUUUUUCCACCAUCACUAGUACGUGGGGUCCCGAAAACCAAACAAAGAAUAAAAUGCACGCACGAGUUGGUGGAUUGUGUUAAGCAUCUAACUAACUAGAUUCCUUACUCCCAGCGAUGACCUAUAAUAGAAUAUGAAAAGUAAUGUUUCCCUUAAUCUCCUCCCAUCUGGAUAGAUAAAUCAAGGUCAUGCGUAGCUCGUAUAAAAAACUAGAAAUGAAUUAUUGCCCUCUGGCGAAAGGAAAAGAUUGUUGGUACGAAAGCCGCUAUUACACCACUUGAGGGCUGAACCAACCUCAUGCUCCAUCAGAUACAAGAAACAGCCCAACUCUGAGCUUAUCGAUCUGAAAUGCACUUUUCAACCAAUGCCUUAGCGAGAGAAUGGAGGAGUAGACGCCUCUUCUUAUAGAUGGACUAUGUUUUCUCUUUUUAUAUGAUUAUUCGAGUUAGGUGGUUGAGAUGCUUCUACGGGGUGGUUCUUGAUAGGGCAGCUUCUAAUACAAUCAGUUAAAGACGUAGUGUAUCUACUUUAAAUCGAAUGAAAAGGAAUGCACUCCCUUUCUUUGGUCGGGGUUCGCCAUUCGAUGCCUCAACCAAAGGGAUUAUUGGAGGUGGUAGUAUGAGCCAAGAUAGCCGUGAGAUACGUUAAGCUGCUAAUAUGUCCAUCUUUGUAUCCAUACGGAGGGAGAAGGGAAGGCCCAUUGAUCCUCUUAUGAGUCGCUUAACUAAAGCUCGAACGAUGUCCCUUCUGGUUCGCCCGAGAUUCCUGUAAUAAUGCUUGAUCCAUAGUAACGUAAGUAGAAAUGGGAGGUCGAAGCUGCUCCAUUAGACCCGAAGCUUUCUUCUUAUCCCUUUUGUCUUCUUACGUAGGAUGAUUUCAUCCGAGUGUGUGUAAGGCGGGUGGCAUUCUUUGCCAUAAGCUCUAAGCAACCACCUACUUGUAAUAUGGUAUCCUUUCUCUCUUCCUGGGACUUGAGGGGAGGUUAGUACCGCGAAUAAAGUAGUACUCGCUACCCAGCCAGUCAUCUACUUGACAAGUUUGGAAAGAAUCUCUCGGAAAAGAGAGCGCAAUCUCUCUUUGCUUGUGCCACCCGGGCGGAAGAUAUAUCUGAGUCGAGCUCGUCGAAGAAGAAACUGCUACUGACAUCCAGGGAUGAGGGCUCAGAUCAGAGUGAACAAACAGUGCGAAAGAGACUGAGAAGGGCAAGCAUGCGCCUGAAAGGGGGGCCAUUGCUCCAUGUAUAAUAUAACUCGGGAUGUUUCACUAUAUUAUAUCCCCAUUGCUAAACGCAAUAGGAAGGGAAAGAAACGUUUCUCCUUCUACACAUUUAUGAAAAUAAAUGGCUUCCCGUCGCUCACAGCAGCUUCUCUAGUUUAAUUAUCGCCAAAAACAAAGGAAAUCGACUUAGUCGCUCGCUUGUACCUCCAUUUCCAAUGGCUAAUUUACGCAUGUUGUACUUCUCCAUAGUUUGCUCGAAUCGAACUUGUCCGUACCGACAUAAUCAGUAUCUCCCGGACUACCAAGGCAAAAAAAACCAGUAAACUAGUGACUUGAAUCAUACUUCCUUCCUCUUUGAUUGAGGAAACCUAACUACAGGAACUGCUUAAGUCAAGAACAAACAGAUGGAGUAUUUCUUCCUUUCGAACUAUAAAAAGUUAGGCUACAGCAAGCGCAAGUCAUCCCCUUGCGAAGUGCAAAACAAGGGAAAUCUGACUUCAUAAAAACAAGUUGAGCUAUCGUUCCCUUCAUUGACCUACUAACUCGUGAUACAGCGCGUGUUUCUUCCUCAGAAUCUCAUUUCAAAAGGCAUGAACCAUCCCCUAACUUGGAAGGGGACAGGAACAGAAGACAAGUGUUAAGCAAGCCUUGUUUCCUACUUGCUGACCCUAGAACAACAAGAGGCAACAGGCUUGCUUAACACUCGAACAAGAGGAAAUCGCUUCGUCUUUUUGCCCUUGGCGCGCCUUCUACUUCUGUCGGCACAACUACGUAUUUAUUAGAAUAGUGCUUUGCUUGGUCCUGCUUUGGACCUAUGAUCCACGGGUGAUUAAUCAGCAUCUACAGCUUUCGCUUUGGGUCGGGAAUUUGGAGAGAUUGGCUCUAUAGAAAGGGAAGCGAGUCUUUGAACUAUGUUAGCGCCGAGGGUUCACUAAACCUACUGUCCUUCUGACUUUCGUGUUUCGUAACUCAUUAGAUUCCUAGCUUUUUAGCGGGGGCUUUGUAAGAGAAAUAGCUAGAUCUGUAACAAUCAAAAUAAGUCGGGGUUCAGUUCAUUAGAGCAAGGAGAAAGUUCACUAGAUAGACAGGUUGGACAAUGAGGGCUUUUAUUCUCCCUAUCUCGAGUAGGAUCAUUGAAAAGAAAGAAAAGGAAUGGUUUCUUCAACUGGCUUGUGCCACAGCUCAUAGCUCGAAUCGGGAUUGGAAAAACGGAAGGAAAGUAAGGCGCUAGAGCCUCUGAUGAGGAAGACCUCGGAUCUUUCAGAAGGAAUAGGCCUCCCUGCUUUAGCUUUUAUGGUUCACCGCGGUCUUCUUCUUCCUAGCCCAAGGCGGUUUCUCUCUCAAACUGAGUCAAAUCCGUAAAAUUGUAAUGAAGAGGAAAGCAGCGGCUUUGACUCUCUCACCUAACAGGUCGGUAUUCAUGUCCACCAGAAUUAUCUACUGAUUGGCUGUAGUUUACUUCCCGAUCAGAAGGAUCCGAAUCCUGUUUAAUAAAGACCCAUUGCCACCUAGGUAUCCUUUAUCUUCUCUCGUUCCUCUUUGGACAAAGGUUUCAAACCACCAACUCUUUAGAAAUCUCUGAGGAGUAUGCAUCUGGGUAAAGCAAUGAAUAGGAUGUAGAUGAAGCCCGGUAUGACUCGAUGUUUUCACUUUUUGCAAGGUCUGAUGAUCAACGAGCUAAAAAAAAGGGGGGUAUGCGCGCGGGUACCGGUGCAGUUAGUAAUUGAGGUCAGUCGACCAGGAUCUUAUGACUCUUGUCCCCUUCAAACUUAAUAGAUUAGAGGAUUCUAGCGAUCCAGGCGAGUAAAAUGAAGCAGACGUGGCAGCCGCAGGCAAUGAUCCAAUACCUUUCGUUCUCUUUAGCACUCAUUUCUAAUUCCUUUAGCUUGGAUCUUUUGAAUCUGGAUAGUUAUGAGUACAAAACUCAAUAAUCUUUCCUAGGAUCCCGUGAGGAAGAAGCAAAAGCAGCUGUGGACGAUGCUGGAGGCAAGCCUGCAAUGUGGGAUUAUGAAGCCUAGUUAGUUCAGAACUUUUGUGAUGAUGAGCAAUCACAUGCAUACGCAGAACCUAAAAUCUUAGGUGGUGUGACCAGAUCAAAUAAGUUUUGCUGCUUAAUGCUCAUUUUAUUUUGUUUUGGCAAAAGAAAGACAUGCUGAUGCAAAUGAUCGAGCGAAGUAUUACGUACAAAGAUUUCUCCUUGCUUUUCGGUGGUUGCUGAAUCCUACUGGGUAGGGUAGACCAAGAUGUUUGACUCGAGGACUCUUCCUACUAUUCCAGAUUCCAUUUCAAUGGUAGCUUCUUGGUAGACUUACUUUCUAUGGUACACAAUCCAGUCAAUAAACCUGGCUCAUAGGACUUUACAAGUGAUCGUGCAUCUGCCACUCCUAUGCCUUCUUUUCCUCGUCCCGAUUUGAACUAUGUUAAUAAUUUUGCUAGAUCGGACCAUAAAAUGGAAUUGAGCAGGCAUCCCUUGGUCCAAUAGAUAUUUCCUUAUGUAUGAUAGAACUUAGGUGCACCCCAACUUGGGGCUAGCGAGCAUGUCUCUCAUCUUCCUAGUAAGCACGUCCUAGGUGCAUUAACGGCUGAACAGUCUCACUAUUCGAUGAACUAGGGUGGGCCAGGGAACUCGUAGCUUAUGCACGCGCACGAGGCAUGAAAAAGGAGGAAAGUCAUUACAUAGGAAAGGAGCACACGCCAUAGAGGAAUUAUCAUGUUAUGCCUGGUAAAGAAGCACACUGACUUCAGAAGAAAGAAAAGAAGUCAUCCCAGUCAUCUACUAUUUUCUGCCACUCAAAUCCUGAUGGAUUGAAGAGGAAUGGAGCGAAUAGCCAAGUGAUAACCAAGAACCCUGAAAGGGCGCGGGAAGAGCCCAAGGUUAUCCCAAUUCCUAUGAUCCUCGUAAAAAGAGAGGAUGGAUUGAGAUACCCCUUUGCUAACUCCAUAGUUAGGACAGGUGCGUCUGCGGUGAGCAUAAGAAGAUUGCCCUGAUAAUGGAAUUCCGGAUCCGCCGGGGUGAGUGAUUUUCUUAGGACUGUCAAAAGAGCUCAAGUUUGGCUGAUAGCGAACUCCACCAAACGUGAUACCCUCCCCAAUUGGGGAUUGACCCGAGUAUUUAGUCAUAUUCUUCUUAGGAGGCUCCCUUCAGCUUGUGAAUCUAUUCUAGGAUCAAUGCAUAUACUUAGAUAGGUUCGAUCUGGCUUAAGCUUCAAUCCGUCUAAAUAGUGUAGCGAGGGACUGGAUAGAAUAAAAACCGUUUUUAUCUGGGAAGAGCGCCUUUGGAAAACCAAGAAGCAGAAUGCAGUGUCUGCUAUGAUUGCCCCAGAUGUAAGUUGGCCUCCCCUAGCCACAGCUAUUUUAGCCGAUUUUUUCUUUUGGAUAUGGCAAGUGGUUGUAACUGCUAAAUACAAAUCAAUGAAUGUACUUGAACUGCCGGUAUCAAUAAGGGCAAUGCCUGUUUCUCCACCAACAGUGACCUUGACUGAAAAUGUGCCAGCAGUGACUUGCCCUGAAACUGCAUGAGCCGAAAUAUGCAUGAGAUACUCAUUUGGAGGGGAGUCCUGAUCCUGUGGGAUUUCUUCUUCUUCUUGUACUGCAAUCUCUUCUGUGGCAUCAUUUGGUGUGUAAGUUUCCUGCAUGACAUUGAUAGUAGGGAUUAACUUGCAGAAGUUUUUGAUUGGUCUUUUUCAUGUCAUGGGAUAACCCCCCCGAAAGAAGAGUGCAAAGACCAAGUUCCCAUUUCCUCCGUUCAUCCACGAGAAUCGAUAUUCGUUCUUUCCACUUUGAAUACGUCAAUUCUCAUCCGUUACUUGAGAUUCGAUACGUAAGAUACGUCAUUUCUCAUCCGUAACUUCCAUCCGAUAAGGGCAAUAAAGCCAAGGCAAGCUCAUAUUUGCGUAUCUAAAGGCUUGGUGUGGAGUUUUGGGGAGAGGGCCUGGGUUUCAGGAGAUGAAAAAAGCCUACUUUUACAGCUAAGUGAUUAGGACUUGAUCGAAAAAUAUUGCUCUCAAAACAUGCAUUUUUGAGGUAAACUAGAAAAACACUACUUUUGACCCAUAGUGAUCCGCACUUUUUUCAUUGGAAAUGGAGUUUCCUUAGGGAAAAAGGACUUGCUAACUUUUGCAGCUAUAUGAAACGGACUUGCCUACGGCACUUUUGCACCGAAGAAACUAAAAAAUAGUCUUUCUCCGCCUAAAAGCAAGGUAGGAUUUCUACGAAACAAGUCCGGAUAGGUAACUAGGCGGAUAGGAAGGAUUUCUACGAGCUUCAGUUCAUGAAUUGAAAUAUGCAUGCAGCCCAUUCAUAAGGAGUAGCUGGCUAUCCGUGUGCAACACUCAUUUCUUUCUAGGAAGAUAAGAUCCCGCUCUAAGGCAUUGGAGCUGCUGGAAUAUGAUACGAAAAUACAGAUUGAUGUUUCUGCUUCUCCUCUCUCGGGAAUAGUUUACCGACCGGGCCACCUGUAAAUUCUUUAGUUAAAACAGGCCUCGGGAGUAGUCAUCCUAGUAUCGAAAAUCAUCUAUUUUGCUUUCCGAAGGUAGACAGCAGCGUUGAUUCUCCGAUUAUACGAUAGCAACAUGUGCGAAGUCUAGUACCAGAUCAUAUCGGGGAUACCUAGCUCAUCAGCAGUUCAUUUCUAUGUAUGGCGAGAAGUCCAACUGUCAAGCAUGGCACGAUUCCAGAAUCAUCGCUUGGCUGCUGCUUAGAUGAGAUGAAACCUGAGCUGACUUCUCUGUUUUAGUACCGGCCAGGCCUGCUUCUUAAGUGAACUCAUCCAUUCCCUUGUUAGUACAGAAGGAGGCGAUAUCGUGUCAAUUCCCUAAAAACCAUCUUUUCCAAUGAUUUAGGGCCCAUACCCCAAAAAUGAUGACGAAGAGGUCUUCCUGCUUCAAAAACAGGGCUUCCUGACCCGAGAAAAGAGUGCACAUGGAAGUAGUUCCGCUCAAUUCUCCAAUACGACUUCGGUUGUGACCCCAACCCCACCAAAUGGUGAUCCUCGAGACCAAAGGGCAUUGAACGAGAGAGAAGGAAAUCAUCCACAGAGAAUCGGAGUAUCCGACCUAGUGAUAGUUAGAAAGAGUUGGCCAAUACAGAAUCUCAUGCGCCUCUCAUUGAUGAACCCCUUUUUCCUUUAUCCUCUACUGGUGGCUGACUGAUUGAGCGCCGGUCUCAUUCAUUCUUUAUGAGCGGAAGCCAUGCACCUAUCACCUAUAACCGGAGAAGUACUAUACGGCACGGCACCUUCGGCGAGGACUCAACUCAACAGAGAAUGAUUUGACAAACGUUGAUCCAUGCUUGGCCUUAGCCUGAGCUCAACUCUGAAAAAGAAAAGAGGAGAAUCUCUCUAGCUUGUGGAAUCACUUCCCUGGAUGCUUAGAUAGCUCGAGAAAGUGCGCCACUUCUCCCUUAGAGCCCAUCUAUCUAAACGGGUAUAAAAACAGAGAAAUAGGCUCAUUAAGUGAAGUGAGAACAGAACUCGAUCUUUGCUAGGCGUGAGAAGAAGAUAUCGGUCCUUUGGCCAUCGGGUAAAGAAAUCCUUUGAAUGGAUCAGUGAGUUCCGGCACGAUUGCUGGAACGAACGGAAUCUACGGGAACGAGAUCUUUCUGUUGGCACGAUAUCUUUCAGGAACUGCGGUAAUCCAAUCCUUGAGCUAAGGACGAAUGCUUGAUUUGCAAUCUUUCAAGACGAUUUUCUUGUAGCAGAUGUGGAAUCCAGAUUGGCAUAACGGGUUCUACGUGAAGUCAGCCGUUCGUCAUCAUUUGAGGGUUCGGGUCGGGAUCAUGGCCAUAAAUCGCUACUUUUUCCACUAGAGCGAAUAGCAUUCUUCAAAACAGGCACAGGACACUAGAGCGAAUAGCAUUCUUCGAAACAGGCACGCACAGGACUUGAAGCAGAAUCAGAGAGUGAUCCCUUUCCAACAGACUGAUCGAAUUCCAGUGAUACACUACGCCUGGCACUAUUCGUCACAUUAGUAGUUAAGUUACUCAUUUGUUACGAACAAAGAGACGCUAGAGAUUCUAUGAACUUCAGAUCGAUGCCAUUCACUAAUCUCAAUCGUCUUUCUAUGGAUUUCUGGGCCGAUGGGCGAUAAACCUUAAAAGUAGCUGCUACGGGCUCUGUGGUGCGUCUCAGAGCCCUUCCCCAUGGGGGGUUCCCGUUCUGCUAAUCUUGCUAUCUUCCCCAGGUUUGCUCGUUUCGAUUGGAACUAGAAGUCCGUAUUGGUAUUUCUUGGUAUUGGUAGCAGAUGUUCAGCAGUAACAAACAGUAGCUGCAAGUAGAUCAUCUCUCUUUCUUUCGUACAAGUAGAUCGUUGGGAUGAGAUCUGUAGUCUAAGAAUCGGUUCAUAGGAAAGCACGCCUUGCAGUUGGCAUCGGUAGAAGAUUUCCGUCUUGUCCCUCGGAGUGGAGCUAGACUCACUUCCUUUGUUCUAGACAUUAUAUGUUACUCACUGAGGAAGAAGGGAGUAAAGUAUCUACACUCGUAUCGGAUCUGGAGAUCUGCCCCGGGAUGGAAAGGUAUCGAUCGACCAAGAAAUUGUCGAAUUUCUUUGACCUCAGAGCCCGUACAAGCUCUUCUUCCACAACCAUAUGUGACCUCCCCGAGUUUCGAACCCCUCGCCCUCUAAAUGUGGAUCUCCUCCUCCUCGUUGUUGCCGUGGAGAGACCUCACGUCUAGUUGAAAUAGAUGCAAGUAAAACUUUCUGACAGCUAUGUGAGCACGGAUCUUUCCAUCAUAAGAAUAGGGCUCUGGCAAUAGAUCAAAAUCACUAGUCCAUUCUGAUUCGGAAGAUAGGGCUGGGCUGGCAGGUUCUAGUUUGUUCGCACAAGAAAGAGAAAGAAGUGCAUGAGGCAGCACUGGACCAAGUAAAGGUGUCGGAUACGUCUCAGCUCAGCUUGAAAGGGAAUGUGUUUCUGGGGAAUCGUACUUUUGAUUCUCAGCUAAAGCCCACCCUUGCCCCCGGAAAGGUUCUCAUUCCUCACUGGAGAACACGGCUCCACAACGUAUUUGGUAGCGGAUCCACUUUUCCUUAUCUGUUAACGUAUACCUUUCCUCUGCCUAUGAGCUAGCUAAAGAUCCAUCGUUAUCCUUUCCGGCAAUGGAGGCGGAAUCAAUGGUCAUGUCAGGUUUCGGAUUCAAAGAGAGAUGUCAAGCAAGCGCCGAAAAUGAGUACUCAACUUGCCCGACCCGCUUCUUCCACUAGACCUCGUCUUUCAAAGAGCAUCAGCCCUGCAAGCCUAAUAGAACCUUGUUUCCCUAUUACUUACUUUUGCUUUGAGCGUCGCACUCCAGUGGCUUUCUUUCCUAUGGCUUGGAUGGGGGUCCUCAACAAGAUCUAUAUCGGUGUCAUUAUUUACUUAUUUAGACGAUAGAUGAUGAUAGAGAGCAGACUGGCUCUAAGGAAGAAUAUCUUAAGUAGUUGAAUCCGCUCCGCUAGGUUAAAUUGUAUGAUCUGAAUGUAGGAGGACUGCUGCUGGUGACACAAUUUCUUUUGGGUCUGAAGAAUGAACUCGGAGUUGCAGUGGAAGUGCAGGUGCCUAACUCAAUUAGUGAAGCUGCAUCUUUUGCUCAAUCAAGUGCGGGAAGGAGUUUUGGAGAGAGGCAGGCACUACAUGGACAAGAAGGACAGAUAAAAACAGUUUUUUCGUACCUUGAUUGGACCCACCCAAAAGCAACAGGAAUCCCUUUCUCCUCCUAUAAGGAAAUCUCGUCGUUUCACUCUUCUUCAAGUACCAUCGGAUUAGUCAACUCAAACGCUGAGAGAUUGAGUGGCUAUGUGGGGAUUAGUCAACUCAAUCAAACGGGUUGAUUCUUUUGCUCAAUCCGUCUAAAUAGUGUAGCGAGGGACUGGAUAGAAUAAAAACCGUUUUUAUCUGGGAAGAGCGCCUUUGGAAAACCAAGAAGCAGAAUGCAGUGUCUGCUAUGAUUGCCCCAGAUGUAACUUGGCCUCCCCCAGCCACAGCUAUUUUAGCCGAUUUUUUCUUUUGGAUAUGGCAAGUGGUUGUAACUGCUAAAUAAAAAUCAAUGAAUAUACUUGAACUGCCGGUAUCAAUAAGGGCAAUGCCUGUUUGUCCACCAACGGUGACCUUGACUGAAAAUGUGCCAGCAGUGACCUGCCCUGAAACUGCAUGAGCCGAAAUAUGCAUGAGAUACUCAUUUGGAGGGGAGUCCUGAUCCUGUGGGAUUUCUUCUUCUUCUUGUACUGCAAUCUCUUCUGUGGCAUCAUUUGGUGUGUAAGUUUCCUGCAUGACAUUGAUAGUAGGGAUUAACUUGCAGAAGUUUUUGAUUGGUCUUUUUCGUGUCAUGGGAUAACCCCCCCGAAAGAAGAGUGCAAAUACCAAGUUCCCAUUUCCUCCGUUCAUCCACGAGAAUCGAUAUUCGUUCUUUCCACUUUGAAUACGUCAAUUCUCAUCCGUUACUUGAGAUUCGAUACGUAAGAUACGUCAUUUCUCAUCCGUAACUUCCAUCAGAUAAGGGCAAUAAAGCCAAGGCAAGCUCAUAUUUGCGUAUCUAAAGGCUUGGUGUGGAGUUUUGGGGAGAGGGCCUGGGUUUCGGGAGAUGAAAAAAGCCUACUUUUACAGCUAAGUGAUUAGGACUUGAUCGAAAAAUAUUGCUCUCAAAACAUGCAUUUUUGAGGUAAACUAGAAAAACACUACUUUUGACCCAUAGUGAUCCGCACUUUUUUCAUUGGAAAUCGAGUUUCCUUAGGGAAAAAGGACUUGCUAACUUUUGCAGCUAUAUGAAACGGACUUGCCUACGGCACUUUUGCAUCGAAGAAACUAAAAAAUAGUCUUUCUCCGCCUAAAAGCAAGGUAGGAUUUCUAUGAAACAAGUCCGGAUAGGUAACUAGGCGGAUAGGAAGGAUUUCUACGAGCUUCAGUUCAUGAAUUGAAAUAUGCAUGCAUCCCAUUCAUAAGGAGUAGCUGGCUAUCCGUGUGCAACACUCAUUUCUUUCAAGGAAGAUAAGAUCCUGCUCUAAGGCAUUGGAGCUGCUGGAAUAUGAUACGAAAAUACAGAUUGAUGUUUCUGCUUCUCCUCUCUCGGGAAUAGUUUACCGACCGGGACACCUGUAAAUUCUUUAGUUAAAACAGGCCUCGGGAGUAGUCAUCCUAGUAUCGAAAAUCAUCUAUUUUGCUUUCCGAAGGUAGACAGCAGCGUUGAUUCUCCGAUUAUACGAUGGCAACAUGUGUGAAGUCUAGUACCAGAUCAUAUCGGGGAUAGCUAGCUCAUCAGCAGUUCAUUUCUAUGUAUGGCGAGAAGUCCAACUGUCAAGCAUGGCACGAUUCUAGAAUCAUCGCUUGGCUGCUGCUUAGAUGAGAUGAAACCUGAGCUGACUUCUCUGUUUUAGUACCGGCCAGGCCUGCUUCUUAAGUGAACUCAUCCAUUCCCUUGUUAGUACAGAAGGAGACGAUAUCGUGUCAAUUCCCUAAAAAACCGUCUUUUCCAAUGAUUUAGGGCCCAUACCCCAAUAAUGAUGACGAAGAGGUCUUCCUGCUUCAAAAACAGGGCUUCCUGACCCGAGAAAAGAGUGCACAUGGAAGUAGUUCCGCUCAAUUCUCCAAUACGACUUCGGGUGUGACCCCAACCCCACCAAAUGGUGAUCCUCGAGACCAAAGGGCAUUGAACGAGAGAGAAGGAAAUCGUCCUCAGAGAAUCGGAGUAUCCGGCCUAGUGAUAGUUAGAAAGAGUUGGCCAAUACAGAAUCUCAUGCGCCUCUCAUUGAUGAACCCCUUUUUCCUUUAUCCUCUACUGGUGGCUGAUUGAUUGAGCGCCGGUCUCACUCAUUCUUUAUUUGCGGAAGCCAUGCACCUAUCACCUAUAACCGGAGAAGUACUAUACGGCAUGGCACCUUCGGCGAGGACUCAACUCAACAGAGAAUGAUUUGACAAAGGUUGAUCCAUGCUUGGCCUUAGCCUGAGCUCAACUCUGAAAAAGAAAAGAGGAGAAUCUCUCUAGCUUGUGGAAUCACUUCCCUGGAUGCUUAGAUAGCUCGAGAAAGUGCGCCACUUCUCCCUUAGAGCCCAUCUAUCUAAACGGGUAUAAAAACAGAGAAAUAGGCUCAUUAAGUGAGUGAGAACAGAACUCCAUCUUUGCUAGGCGUGAGAAGAAGAUAUCGGUCCUUUGGCCAUCGGGUAAAGAAAUCCUUUGAAUGGAUCAGUGAGUUCCGGCACGAUUGCUGGAACGAACGGAAUCUACGAGAACGAGAUCUUUCUGUUGGCACGAUAUCUUUCAGGAACUGCGGUAAUCCAAUCCUUGAGCUAAGGACGAAUGCUUGAUUUGCAAUCUUUCAAGACGAUUUUCUUGUAGCAGAUGUGGAAUCCAGAUUGGCAUAACGGGUUCUACGUGAAGUCAGUCGUUCGUCAUCAUUUGAGGGUUCGGGUCGGGAUCAUGGCCAUAAAUCGCUACUUUUUCCACUAGAGCGAAUAGCAUUCUUCGAAACAGGCACAGGACACUAGAGCGAAUAGCAUUCUUCGAAACAGGCACGCACACGACUUGAAGCAGAAUCAGAGAGUGAUCUCUUUCCAACAGACUGAUCGAAUUCCAGUGAUACACUACGCCUGGCACUAUUCGUCACAUUAGUAGUUAAGUUACUCAUUUGUUACGAACAAAGAGACGCUAGAGAUUCUAUGAACUUCAGAUCGAUGCCAUUCACUAAUCUCAAUCGUCUUUCUAUGGAUUUCUGGGCCGAUGGGCGAUAAACCUUAAAAGUAGCUGCUGCGGGCUCUGUGGUGCAUCUCAGAGCCCUUCCCCAUGGGGGGUUCCCGUUCUACUAAUCUUGCUAUCUUCCCCAGGUUUGCUCGUUUCGAUUGGAACAAGAAGUUCGUAUUGGUAUUUCUUGGUAUUGGUAGCAGAUGUUCAGCGGUAACAAACAGUAGCUGCAAGUAGAUCAUCUCUCUUUCUUUCGUACAAGUAGAUCGUUGGGAUGAGAUCUAUAGUCUAGGAAUCGGUUCAUAGGAAAGCACGCCUUGCAGUUGGCAUCGGUAUAAGAUUUCCGUCUUGUCCCUCGGAGUGGAGCUAGACUCACUUCCUUUGUUCUAGACAUUAUACGUUACUCAGUGAGGAAGAAGGGAGUAAAGUAUCUACACUCGUAUCGGAUCUGGAGAUCUGACCCGGGAUGGAAAGGUAUCGAUCGACCAAGAACUUGUCGAAUUUCUUUGACCUCGGAUCCCGUACAAGCUCUUCUUCCACAACCAUAUGUGACCUCCCCGAGUUUCGAACCCCUCUCCCUCUAAAUGUGGAUCUCCUCCUCCUCGUUGUUGCCGUGGAGAGACCUCACGUCUAGUUGAAAUAGAUGCAAGUAAAACUUUCUGACAGCUAUGUGAGCACGGAUCUUUCCAUCAUAAGAAUAGGGCUCUGCCAAUAGAUCAAAAUCACUAGUCCAUUCUGAUUCGGAAGAUAGGGCUGGGCUGGCAGGUUCUAGUUUGUUCGCACAAGAAAGAGAAAGAAGUGCCGGAGGCAGCACUGGACCAAGUAAAGGUGCCGGAUAUGUCUCAGCUCAGCUUGAAAGGGAAUGUAUUUCUGGGGAAUCGUACUUUUGAUUCUCAGCUAAAGCCCACCCUUGCCCCCGGAAAGGUUCUCAUUCCUCACUGGAGAACACGGCUCCACAACGUAUUUGGUAGCGGAUCCACUUUUCCUUAUCUGUUAACGUAUACCUUUCCUCUGCCUAUGAGCUAGCUAAAGAUCCAUCGUUAUCCUUUCCGGCAAUGGAGGCGGAAUCAAUGGUCAUGUCAGGUUUCAGAUUCAAAGAGAGAUGUCAAGCAAGCGCCAAAUCUGAGUACUCGACUUGCCCGACCCGCCUCUUCCACUAGACCUCGUCUUUCAAAGAGCAGCAGCCCUGCAAGCCUAAUAGAACCUUGUUUCCCUAUUACUUACUUUUGCUUUGAGCGUCGCACUCCAGUGGCUUUCUUUCCUAUGGCUUGGAUGGGGGUCCUCAACAAGAUCUAUAUCGGUGUCAUUAUUUACUUAUUUAGACGAUAGAUGAUGAUAGAGAGCAGACUGGCUCUGAGGAAGAAUAUCUUAAGUAGUUGAAUCCGCUCCGCUAGGUUAAAUUGUAUGAUCUGAAUGUAGGAGGACUGCUGUUGGUGACACAAUUUCUUUUGGGUCUGAAGAAUGAACUCAGAGCUGCAGUGGAAGUGCAGGUGCCUAACUCAAUUAGUGAAGCUGCAUCUUUUGCUCAAUCAAGUGCGGGAAGGAAUUUUGGAGAGAGGCAGGCACUACAUGAACAAGAAGGACAGUAACUAGAAUUAGAAGUCGGCUGCCCCUCAGCAGCAAGGCUAUGUCUCAGUCAAAGUUCGACAGGGGGCAAAACAGUUGCUGUCCUAAUAGAAGUUCAUGUCGAUCCAGCCAAGCCAGUGCCAUCAUUAGAAAGUCCGGCCAUUUUAGUUUCAGCCAGUUCAAGUUAGGGCAAGGAGGAAAGGAAGAGAGUAAUGCAAGGAUGUAAAGAAUGAGGCGCUAGAAUAGACUGGCCCGCAGGCUUCCAACCUGACACCGCUUUGCUACUUUUCGAAAGAGGAAGAGAAGUUGCUUGUACGAGACUGCGCCUCCCGGCUGGAAACUCCAAUGGCAUUUUCGGUAAAUGAAAGCAAAGCAAAGCUUUACGACCAAGGAGAGAUAAGCAUAUUUUAUGAAUGAUAGAAGGAGUGCUCCCCGAGCACAAGCUCGCUUGGAAGGAUAGAGCGCCGCAAGACAAGAUGGCAUAUUGAAGGGAAGGCUAUGAAAAGAAUUCUGGUCUCUCGAACGCCUGGCAUACUAAUACGAGCCGCAUACUUCAAUACUAGUGACAUAUUGGAGGAAAGGAGAUUAUUGGAAUACUAGAGGGAGUUACGCCCAUAAGAACUGCUGGCUGUAAACGCGACUUGCUCUGCUCCUCCUAAAACCCUUUUCGAUAGUAAGAUAGAUAUAGAUCUAAAGGGCCUAGAAGGGCAAGCAUGGACCGAAUAAUACACAUACUCUGUCUAGAUAGACGAUUUCUUCUUUCAUUUCCACUCAAAUAAAAGCACUUUCUUUCAAGCUUAUUUGCUUGAAAAAGAGCAAAGCAAUUCCAACAUAAACUGACACUUUAGGAUCCUCUAAGCCUUUCUAUAGACCCGUAAGGUACUAAAAACGAAAAACUAGCACUACUAACACAGGCUGAAGAGGAUGACCUCGAAAAAGAAUACAAUUAAAGAUGUGGCCUUCCCUCCAAGCACAUAUAUGGAUAUGGAGCACUCUUUUCCACCCUAAAAAAGAAUAGCCAGAGAUGGCUUUCUUUCCGUAUCAAUAGGUAGCCUUCCUUGCCUAUGGCUACUUUCAAAUGAAAAGGUCAAAAAGAACUUGAUGUAAUAGGCUCACUUCAUUAAUGCUUUCAAACUCGAUUGUAAACUAUUCCCACCUAAAAGAUAAGCUUACUACUUCAAAUAGGUAGAUGGAAAGAAAGCCAUAUUUUCCAUCUUAUUUAUAUAUUCCAUUCCAGCCAUUGACAGCAACUCACUCUUUUCGAACUGCACUUUGAAAGCCAAACCCAAGAAAGACCAUAUCAACUACUCUCCAAAUAGCAGGAUAAAUCACGGAAUUCAAAUGGAAGACAGAAAGAGAAGGCAAUUCAAAUCUAAUGGCCAAACGAAUCCAAGACAGAAAUACUUAUAGCCAGAAAAGAAUAACAAGAGAACGAAAACAACUCCAUAUUCUACUGGCAUGCCUCUCUGAUCUACUAUCCAACUGCCAUGGAAGCACCACUGUUCACCCUAGGCUCACAUUCUGGCACUUCGUUCGCUGUGUACUCAAAGGACUUGCUUGUCUUUUGACUCGGGCAAAAACCGCAGGAGUGAAUUGACUCGUAAUUAUACAAACAAAUGACCCAGCUGGCCUUCUCCUAUCCGGGGAAUCAUCGGGACAUGCUUCACUUAAAGUGAUUAUACCACAUAGUUUAGGGAAGCGAAACCAUAGUUUGGGUUAGUUCACGCUAGAUUAUCGAAGCUUGUAACACCUGUUAGAACACAUUAGGAAAGCGCAAAAGAUUUCUAUUUGGAGUUCGCUCGUUUAGUUGCUCGAUCGCUGCCAUCCGCAUUGGGCUAAUUCAAAUCCUAUGCUCCAUGCUCUUGCGGGUUUGCUCCAUUUGAACUUGUCCACACUGGCAUAACCAGUAUCUCCCCGGAACUAAGAGGCAUGGAUACCCAUCUUUAUCGAUUCAAAGAAAUGAAUAAGUAUCAGCGAGGCGGGGAAUACGGGCCCGGUAGAGAUAGGGAUGAUCGGCAAGCGCUAUGAGCGGGGCCGAUGUUUCGUGUUGUGGGUGGCCAUCGGAUUGUUCAGCGUGCCCAUGCGGAUCCCUACCAAUGUCCUAGACUACAAGUUCGACAAACUUCCGGCUUGGGUCAGGAUACAAAGUUACCCGGGAUGGGCUUGCCCUCUGGAUCACGCUGGGUCCUUGGUUGUUCCAACGUCAUGCUAGGAAUGUAUCACGUGCCCAUGCAAACCAAAGUAAAGCAGAUACAACUAUUACAGAUCCUAGUCCUAUUUCCCAUCAGAACAUAAGGGAGUGGGCUUCCUUUGUAACAGCUCUGUUCUGGUCGUGGCUCACCUCACUGGACCAAUGCUUCUGGUCGGAAGCUGGUCGAUCGCCUGGUCGGCAACCGGCACAACACCUUUGCCAGUGGGAUUUCUGUUGGUUUUCGUACUAUGCGCAAUGAAAGUUUCCAAAAAAUGAGAGCUCUAAAAACAGCGUUCUACAGGGAGAAUGUGAUUUUUGUAUACUUUGACCCCAUACUGGCAUGAAACUGAUCGGAAAAAGGACCUCAAAAACACCCAUUUAUUAGGGGAAUGUGAAAAUUGAUGGUUUUCGCCCAUACUGGCAUGAAACUUUCUCUUUUAUUGAGCUCAAAAACAGGCAGAGGGAGAUCAGAAAAAGUGUCAAAUCCAAUAGAACAGAGAACGAUGGCCCAAACAGAAUAGCUUACUUCCUCUAUCCGAGUUGGCAAUCAAUAUCAAGAUCAGAGCGCGAGAGCAAUGAAACAACAAGUCCACCGUCCCUUCACCAGCCAAAGAAAGGAGAAGACUAAGCAGCUCAAUAGGGUCUCGAGUACGACUAUAGUACCAAAGCUUGGUGCUUCUACCAGUCAAGCAAUUACCACGGGUGGAUAUUCAAUAGAAAGCCUACUUGAGUAGGUCAAACAGCGGGGAUCUCUCAGUUCCAAUGGCUGGAUCUCAGAAUUGCGUAGAUGGGUAGAAGUAAUGGGCAAACGCACCUAAGUUAGAGAUUUCAACUACUACGGUAGUGAUGGGGUGCCUGUUUACCUAAGUAGGCCUAGUUCUUUCUAUAAUGAGCAUUCGCGUCCGGGGACUUUGAUCCAACUUCAGCCGAUGGGGAAACAGCAAGGGAUGCACCGGUAUCUGGACACGUGAUGGACCCAGUAGUAAAUAUUCCUUUGUGGAAGGCUUUGGUUAUACCUGGGUGGCAAAGCGAAGUUUCUGGUGGGUAGGUGUCUAAAACAACCCUCUGCAAGGAAGCACGCCCGUAUCAAUCCUUUAAUCGGAGACUAGACUAGCGUUAGGAAGGACAAAGGAGACAGACAGAAUUUACAUCAGAAAAAAAAGGACUUUUUGAAGUUUGAGUGAGGAUAAUUGUCUUAAAUUUCGGAGAAUCGGCUGAAAAAACGCGGAAUUGUCUUCGCCUUUGUAAGCGAAAAUGUCCAGUAAAGCCUAUCUCGCUUUUAGCCUUCAUGGUGAAUGGCCCACCCUUUCUUUGAACCUUGUCAAUGAUCGAACAAACUUACAGAUAUGAACUGAGUGCCAUUUGAUGAGUAAGAUCGAACAAGGGAGAGGGAUAUGGAAAGGAUGAAGUAAUGAAAGAGGAAGUCAUUGCUAGUAGUAACGACUUGUCACGAUCCAUUGGUUCAUAUAGAAUCCAUGUCCUAGGUCUAUCAAAAAACAUUCUUUUCGCUAAGCGUAUAUAAUAAAAUAGAGUGAAAGGGUCCACCCCGAAACCAAGGGGGUACUAACUAACAGCUGAGUCCUCUCCGAACCACAGGAGAUAGUUGCCCAUCAUACGGCUCACCAACUUCACUUGCCUCUAAGGGGGGCUCGCUCCGGGCAGGUUCGGAUCACUUACUAUACACGGCCCUACGAAGGGGUUAGGAGCGUUUUCAAGAUGAUUCUUUCUUUGUCGAGACGAAAAAGGAACCCAUCUUUUCGAUUGAAAAAUGUGAGUCUGUUUUGCCCACUUUAUCCAUCCCCCUCUAUCAAAAUGAUCAAAAAGGCAUUUCAAAUGCUUCUUAUUCCCGUGUUUGAUCUUAUCCAUCUCUGCCCCACUUCCAUGUGGGUAGAGACCCCUGUAGAGAAUGAAGAGGAGCCAAGGAUCUUACUCUCAAGAGUGCUUCGAUAGGCUCCACUCUCUCCCCUGAAUAAGUCAGGCUCCGUUAGCCUGGGCUGAGAUGGGGAUAACGAGUCGACGAUUGAAGCCCCCAACGUUGUGCCAGACACUGGACAGGGGUAAGCUCUGUAAAUGUGUAGAGCCAAGUGUGGUGUAGUAGUAGGCACUUCUAGGGCCCUUCCCGGCUACUGGAUCACUCCAGUGCUUCGGGUACUACGGACCCUCUGCCAUCCAUUGCAGCAGAGCCGUUUAAUGAGCGGGGGGGCUAAGCGCAGUUCUUUGAAUCAAAGGUUUCAUGAAAUCGAAAUCGAUUCUUUUUUAGAUAUCUGGAUAGAUGGAUGGAUCUAUCUUUCUAUUCAGAUAUCUUUUGCAAUCAGCCCCAAAUCCUUGAUUUGGCCAGGAAACAAAGCACUGCUUUGGGCCCAGGAAGCGAAGGGAAUGAGCUCGGCUGCUUCUCCCCCACACUUCUUUAUUUCUCCGUGCCCCUUCCGCAUGCGCUUCGCGCGCCAUUGGCUCUUUGCUCUCCUCUUAUUUCUUCAUUGGAGGGUUCGGAUGGACUUCGCCGUUCUUUCCCAACGAAAAUGGAAAGGGUUGUAUCACAUCGAGAUGUCGAUUCGUUUUCCGCCCCAAAUGAGAUGGGGAAUUAGUCACCUCUGUCCCUUCAUCUUUUUGAAAGGAAUCGAGGCCCGGCCCGGCUCGCGUCGUUCCAACAACCGACGGGGAGCACCUCAGUAUACGAUCGCGCGCAGUAACUGGGAGUCCUAUUACACCUAAGGCCAACUUCCAUUCACCAAACCCAGGUUCAUCUCGUGUAGUGAUUGUGGACUCGUACAAGGAUAUGGAGUCGACGGUUGAUGUAUCAGACUCGACCCUGUCUUUCGUAGCAUGCAUUCCCAUCUGUGUUGCAACUGAUUCGGUAAGCUACGUGUCCGGUGCACGGAAAACUGCCUUCGGUCUCCCAACCUUACUCAUGGCAACCUUCCGGCCGCCCAACGACCUAUAACGCUAGUCACUACUCCCACUGGGGCUAGGAAGUAAGCCCCACAACCCAAAGCGGCGAAGAACAAAUAGAAUUUGCUACAAAAGCCGGCUAACGGGGGUAUUCCUGCGUAUGAGAACAUUGUAAUGGAGAAGGUCAUAGCCGAAAUAGGAUUCGUUUUGGCUAGAGCGCCCAAAUCCGCUAUAUAUUUGACACGGGUUUGUCGUAAUGCUGGAACUAUGGCGAAUGCAUCUAUCGUCAUUGAUGCAUAAAUAAAUAUACCAAUUAGUAGUGAUUCAAUUCCUUCUAUGGUUCCACAUGAGAAACCAGUACGAAUAUAACCUACAUGUCCAAUCGAACUAUGAGCUAGAGGUCUUUUGACUUUCGUUUGGGCCAUGGCGGCCAGUGCUCCUAAGAUCAUAGAAGCAAUGCUGCAGAAAAAGAAGAUUUGUUGUAAUGUACCCCCAUAGGAAGCAACAAUAGAAACACGUGACAUAUUUGCAGAAAUAGAGAUUUUAGGCGCAAUAGAAAGGAAUGCUGUCACCGGGGUGGGUGAACCCUCAUAGAUAUCAGGUGCCCACAUAUAUAGAGUCAAAAGAGAGAUUGAGUCCGAGGGAGAGGGGGGUUUUCUUGGGGCUCGAGAGAUUGAAUAGAUAGGGCCCCACAAGUUGUUAAUUCGCCGCUGGGGAAUUCACACAAAAGGGAAGGACUUAUUCUCAACGAAAAAAGUGCUCUCUGAACCGAACGUGAAAGUUGUUUUCCAUCAGACGGCUGUUCACGUAACUCCACUCUCGGCUUGGAUUAUAUAUCCAUUUGGUCCGCUCUCGGCCAUUCCACACGCUGCCUAGCAGAGACGUGGUUAUCUGAAGUGGAUUCUCUCUUUUGUAGUAGAUGCCGAACCUGCUGCUCAGUGGGCGGGCGCAGCAGCUACAUGGACCCCUUUGUUUAUGUUGUUGCCAGCACUUUCCCGGGCCGAGCCGGAAUUCUUUAUUAGAACGUCGGCAGGCAAAGCCCGAAGGAAGGCUGCUAUCCCCUCGGCCUUCUUCCUUUUCGAUGAAAAACAAAUCGACAUCUCAAUCUCCGAAAGCGUUUUCCUUACCCAGCUAAUAUCCCCCCUUCGUCGAGCCUUUCCUUUAGUGGUAAGGGAUAUGCACCUUAUCUGAACGUCGGCAGGCAUUCCGGAAUUCUCCCUUUUUGGCCCCGGGUGAACAUAGGCUCAAACAUGAUUGGAGGGGUCCUAGCUCCGCCAUGCGUUCAAUAAAAAAAAGCAAGCCUCUGGGAAGCUGCAGGGAUUACAAAAAGAGGGUGCUUUCCUGUGUUGCACUGAAAAAAGGACAAAGGAGAAGACGCUCUUCGACUUUCUUUCUUCCUCCCGCGCCCGCCUAAGCCCGGCCCGCGUUAGAGGGGAAGAUUAGCAAAGCGGAAAAAGACAGAGGGAGGGGGAGCUGCAUCUUAUUCUCUUCGCGAGAACUUCAGGAUCGGAGAAGCAUUCGGAAGGGGCGAGGCCUUCAUUUCGUUGGCAGAAGCAGAAACGAUCCAAUCCAUUCGGGGCUUCGGGGAACCCAAAAACGAACUCUGUUUACUUUUUUCAUAGAUAGAUGAUAUAUAUAGGAAUAAUAUAUACAUCCCUUUACUUGAGAUGUCUAUGUAUCUAUUUUGGAAUCAUCUCCUGAUUCUCUUUUUUCUAAUUCGCACUGCUCUUUCUCUCUAAAUUGCAUCAAAGAAAAUAGAGAGAGAGAGAGAGCAGAUGGAUCCUAUCCCCUAUAACGAACACUCAUUCCUAUCUAUUGAUAGAAAAGAAAGAUCUUCGUCACGGACUUUUUCUUUGUUCAUUUUUUUUUAGAUUGGAGGAAUUCCUCAUAUCCAAGGCAGCUCCCCACAAACACCCCACCCAUAUGACUAUGCCCCCUUUUGAAUCGACAGUAUAGAUUGGGCUUCAUAGCUACAUUCAUUCUAAAGACGAAUAUUAGUCAAUAGGCAGGCUUCUUUCAGUAGCAAACAUAUUCAUUUUCACCGGGCUCCGCGCACCUUUGGUACUUCUGGAGGGCAAGCUGUUUUAUAGUGACUUCUUUCUUAGGGUAGGGCGACGAAUACUUCCAAUUCCGGAAAGGUCAUUGGGUCGCCUUUGGAAGCUAAAGCGAAAGUUGUAGAAAGCCGGGAGAAAAAGCGAAAGCUUGCUCGAAACGGCCUAUACCCUAACCCUCGGAAGCGAAGACGCAAAGCGUCACUUUUUUCAAAAGGAAGGAGUUUUUUCUGACUGAAUCCAUCCAUAAAGCCGCCAAGGAAACGAAGUUCAUUCCCUUUCAUCAAGUGGGUAAG